UGCUGCUGGUGGCCGGGUUGUGGCUGGCCGGCUGGGGCGCGGCCCGGCUGGUGGCGACGGUGGCCGGCGCUGUUAUGUCCGGCGCGGCGGCGG
rnacentral:tRNA from 1 species